rnacentral:rRNA from 1 species
UACGUAGGAGGCAAGCGUUGUCCGGAAUUACUGGGCGUAAAGCGCGUGUAGGUGGUGGGACAAGUCUGCUGUGAAAGCGCCUGGCUUAACCGGGCGAGGUCGGCGGAAACUGUCCGACUCGAGGACGGUAGAGGGGGGUGGAAUUCCCGGUGUAGUGGUGAAAUGCGUAGAGAUCGGGAGGAACACCUGUGGCGAAGGCGGCCCCCUGGGCCG